GGAUCCGGAUAGACAGCUGGACACUCCCUCCAUUCCUCUCCCCUACCUUUAAAUAAGAAGAAGCUGUAGUGAGUUUCAGGCACCAAGUUAUUUACUCGGUAGAGAUCAUGAAUUUGCCCGGGUGUCUGUGCUGCCCCGCACCCUGCUUGUUAACCACGUUAAGACGACUGGCCUGUUAAUUAACUUUAAUUACGAUCAUUUGGCUUCCACCUGCCUGAACCCGAUACCUUACACGGGAACCUGUAUGAUGUGAGUUUACCAGAUUGAUCUUUCUUGUUUACUUUUGGAGACAGUUCUCUUGGGAGAAGUGGUGUCCAUCCUAUUUAAUAAAGCUUAAGCAGGUAAAGCAGUCACUGUGAAGAAAAUAACAUUUUAAGAAACUUUUCUGUCACAAUUGAUAGAGGAAAAGCCAGUAGAGAAGUACAUCUUCUUGUGUGUGUGUCUCAUCGUGCCACUUUUUGUAACUCAGCUUAGUAAUGAAGCCACCAUUAUGUCCUCAGUCAGUGAAGUAAAUGUGGAUAUAAAAGAUUUCCUAAUGAGCAUUAAUUUGGAGCAGUAUCUCUUACAUUUCCAUGAGUCUGGUUUUACUACUGUGAAGGACUGUGCAGCAAUAAAUGACAGCCUGCUGCAG
rnacentral:lncRNA from 1 species